UCUUUGGAAAGAAAGCAAACCAUCCCAUGACGAUGGAUAGUGUAAAGAACGUUAAGAAAAGAAAAUAUAGUGAGGAUUUUUUACAGCAUGGUUUUACCUCAAUAAUUACAGCAGGAAUUGAGAAACUGCAAUGUCUUAUUUGUUUUGAAGUUCUAUCAGCCAAAUCUAUGAAGCCAAACAAACUAAAAUGCCAUUUUGAUAGCAAGCAUUAGAGCUUUGCCAGAAAGGAUACUAACUAUUUUAGAAGCAAAUCUGAUGGACUCAAGAAAGCCAUACUUGAAAUUGAUGGCAAGUACCACAAACAAAAUGUAGCAGCCAUUGAAGCUUCAUAUUUGGUGGCACUCAGAAUUGCCAGAGCUAUGAAACCUCACACCAUUGCUGAGGAUUUACUGUCGCCAGCAGCUAAAGACAUUGUUCAAGUUGUGAUUGGAGACAAAAAUUUGUUAUGAAAUUGAGUGCAAUUUCCUUAUCUAACGACACUGUUCUCAGAAGAAUAGAUGACAUGUCUGCUGAUAUUCUUGAUUAGGUAAUCCAGGAAAUUAAAUCUGCUCCACUUCUAAUAUUUAGUAUCCAGCUUGAUGAAACUACAAACAUUGCAAACUGUUCACAUUUACUGGUUUAUGUGAGGUAUAUUAAUGGUGGCGACUUUAAAGAUGACUUUCUUUCUUGCAAACCUCUUGAAAUGAAACUACUGCACGUGAUGUAUUUAACACAGUUGGUUCAUUACUGAAAGAGCAUAAGAUCUCUUGGGAAAAAGUUUGUGGUGUUUGCACAGAUGGUGCUCCAGCUAUGCUAGGAUAUCGAUCUGGAUUUCAACAUUUGGUACUGAAUGAGUCAAGAAAAGUCAUCAGAACUCAGUGUAUGAUUCAUUGGCAAAUAUUAGCAAUGAAGAUGCUGACACAAGAGUUACAAGAAGUAAUGAAAAAUGUCAUAACUUCUGUCAAUUUUGUAAAGGUGAGCACUUUAAAAUAGUCGACUGUUCUCACAACUGUGCAACCAGUUGGAUGUGCUGAACAAUGCUCUGCUAUUUCACACUGAAGUGAGAUGGUUGUCAAGAGGAAAAGUUUUAAAAUGUGUUUUUGAGCUUUGUGAUGAACUCAAAACGUUUUUUUAAUCAGGAAGACCACAGUUUGAAGCAUUUUUCAGCAAUAAAAGUGAACUGCAGAAAAUAGUUUACUUGGUUGCCAUCUUUGCCAUCUUGAAUGAGUUAAAUUUAUCACUGCAAGGACAAAAUGCAACAUGCCUCAAUUUGUCUGAAAAGAUCCGAUCAUUGCAAAUGAAACGAGCUUAAAAAAAAAAAAGGGAUGAAAAUAAAAUUUACAUGUUGCCUACCUUAUCUGCUUUCUUUGAGGGACAUGACAUUGAACAAGACAAAAGGGUUACAAUGAUAAUUUCUGUGAAAGAACACUUGCACAUGCUUGUAGAUGAAAUUUCAUAGUACUUUCCAAAUCUACCUGACACUCCAUUUGCACUUGCC